UAAGUACCCCGAGGAAAAGAAAUCAACCGAGAUUCCCCCAGUAGCGGCGAGCGAACGGGGAGGAGCCCAGAGCCUGAAUCAGUGUGUGUGUUAGUGGAAGCGUCUGGAAAGGCGCGCGAUACAGGGUGACAGCCCCGUACACAAAAAUGCACAUAUUGUGAGCUCGAUGAGUAGGGCGGGACACGUGGUAUCCUGUCUGAAUAUGGGGGGACCAUCCUCCAAGGCUAAAUACUCCUGACUGACCGAUAGUGAACCAGUACCGUGAGGGAAAGGCGAAAAGAACCCCGGCGAGGGGAGUGAAAAAGAACCUGAAACCGUGUACGUACAAGCAGUGGGAGCCUCUUAAUGGGGUGACUGCGUACCUUUUGUAUAAUGGGUCAGCGACUUAUAUUCUGUAGCAAGGUUAACCGAAUAGGGGAGCCGAAGGGAAACCGAGUCUUAACUGGGCGUUAAGUUGCAGGGUAUAGACCCGAAACCCGGUGAUCUAGCCAUGGGCAGGUUGAAGGUUGGGUAACACUAACUGGAGGACCGAACCGACUAAUGUUGAAAAAUUAGCGGAUGACUUGUGGCUGGGGGUGAAAGGCCAAUCAAACCGGGAGAUAGCUGGUUCUCCCCGAAAGCUAUUUAGGUAGCGCCUCGUGAAUUCAUCUCCGGGGGUAGAGCACUGUUUCGGCAAGGGGGUCAUCCCGACUUACCAACCCGAUGCAAACUGCGAAUACCGGAGAAUGUUAUCACGGGAGACACACGGCGGGUGCUAACGUCCGUCGUGAAGAGGGAAACAACCCAGACCGCCAGCUAAGGUCCCAAAGUCAUGGUUAAGUGGGAAACGAUGUGGGAAGGCCCAGACAGCCAGGAUGUUGGCUUAGAAGCAGCCAUCAUUUAAAGAAAGCGUAAUAGCUCACUGGUCGAGUCGGCCUGCGCGGAAGAUGUAACGGGGCUAAACCAUGCACCGAAGCUGCGGCAGCGACACUAUGUGUUGUUGGGUAGGGGAGCG
rnacentral:rRNA from 1 species